rnacentral:lncRNA from 13 species
GAGAAAUGCCAAAUAUAGCUGAAGGGGAGGAAGGCAGCAAAUCACACUGUCACAUGUGUACCUAUGCAACUAUCUUGCAUGUUCUUCACAUGUACCCCAAAACCUAAAAUGCAAUUUAAAAAAAAGAGUUCAAAAUCUCAACAGGACAACGGCAGUGGGACCCUGAGACAGACAAGACAGACAUAGACUUUAUGGGCUCCGAUGUGCGGCGUUACUCAGGCCAAUGUCCUGUUGGAUGAGAAGGGGCAUUACAGGGAGUCAGAUUUCUGCUCUCUACAAAGAAGGACUUUCUGGCCAGAAUAAAAGGGGAUGCCUGCAGAAGCGGAGGGGGAUAGCACCAACUCAUCACACCUCUGCUGGAAUGGUGGACAGCAGGGUGCAGGCUUCCAGAAGCGGGGCGACAGAGCAGACAGGCCUCCACACUCAUGGCCUUCCCUGCAAGUCCGUGGCUCUGAUUCACUCAAAUAGUAUUGAGUAUGCUUUUUCUUUAGCUUUUUCUCAAGGUGACAAGAAUGGGGGUUUUGAAGAGUAGUUUGAGAGGAUGGAUUUAAAAGUUAAACUUUUGAAAAGAUUUGCCAGGCCAGGUGUGGCUCAUGCCUAUAAUCCCAGCACUUUGCAAGGUUGAGGCAGGUGGAUCACUUGGGGUCAGGAGUUCGAGACCAGCCUGGCCAACAUAGUGAAACCUCGUCUCUACCUUAAGCCCCCUCAGCCAGGCAUGGUGGUGCGUGCCUGUAAUACAGCUACUCGGAAGGCUGAGGCAGGAGAAUUGCUUGAACCUGGGAGGCAGAGGUUGCAGUGAGCCGAGAUCGCAUCAUUGCACUCCCGCCUGAGUGAAAGAGUGAGACCCUGCCCCCCGCCCCCCCACACACAUGAUUUACCAGCUAGGUAAAUCUACCAUGGCUUUAUUCCCCUUCACAGUCACUAUCUAUUUGGUAGUAACACAAACUUUUAGCUUAGAAGGAAACACGUGAACUUUCAUAUUAACUCUCUUUAAAUUCAGUAGUACUCUAUGUAUAAUCAAAUAAACUUAUUUGGUUAAAAGAAAAUAUU